rnacentral:rRNA from 1 species
GACGAACGCUGGCGGCGUGCCUAACACAUGCAAGUCGAGCGGGGUUGAAGCGAGGGGUAACUCAAGCUUCUACCUAGCGGCGGACGGGUGAGUAACGCGUGGGCAACCUGCCUCAAGGUUUGGGAUAACAGCUCGAAAGGGCUGCUAAUACCGGAUAUGCCUAUGGCCUCGCAUGGGGCUAUGAGCAAAGGGGAAACCCGCCUUGAGAUGGGCCCGCGUCCCAUCAGCUAGUUGGUGAGGUAACAGCUCACCAAGGCGACGACGGGUAGCCGGCCUGAGAGGGUGACCGGCCACACUGGGACUGAGACACGGCCCAGACUCCUACGGGGGGCAGCAGUGGGGGAUCUUGCACAAUGGGCGAAAGCCUGAUGCAGCGACGCCGCGUGAGCGAAGAAGGCCUCGGUGUAAGCUCUGUCUGAGGGACGAGGAAGUGACGGUACCUCCGGAGGAAGCACGCGUAACUACGUGCCAGCAGCCGCGGUAAUCUGUGUCGU